rnacentral:misc_RNA from 1 species
UUUCCGUAGGUGAACCUGCGGAAGGAUCAUUACAGUAGUCACCCAGGUUGCCGCAAGGCCUCCUGGGUAACCUACCACCCUUUGUUUAUUACACUUUGUUGCUUUGGCAAGCCUGCCCUCGGGCUGCUGGCUCCGGCCGGCGAGCGCUUGCCAGAGGACCUAAACUCUGUUUGUCUAUACUGUCUGAGUACUAUAUAAUAGUUAAAACUUUCAACAACGGAUCUCUUGGUUCUGGCAUCGAUGAAGAACGCAGC